rnacentral:rRNA from 1 species
UACGUAGGUGGCAAGCGUUGUCCGGAUUUACUGGGCGUAAAGGGCGUGCAGGCGGUUUGUUUAGUCUAGGGUGAAAGCUCCCGGCUUAACUGGGAGAGGACCUUGGAUACUGGCAAACUUGAGGGAGGCAGAGGAAAGUGGAAUUCCCGGUGUAGUGGUGAUAUGCGUAGAUAUCGGGAGGAACACCAGUGGCGAAGGCGGCUUUCUGGGCCUUACCUGACGCUGAGACGCGAAAGCGUGGGGAGCGAACCGG